GAGGGGCUCGGCGAGCGCUGGGUGCUGUUAGAGCCGCCUGGAGGAGAGUCUGUAUGGAUGGGAGCCAGGCCCUUCCGCUUCAUGUGGCUUCCGUGGGGCGCUUCCCACUGGCGGGAGCAUUCAUCACAACUAAUGAACGCCUCGCUCUCUCCUGGCACGCGCCACCAACGGAGUGCGCAGCGCUUUACAAAGAGAAAUAAUUCACCCCAGUAAGCAUUUUAAAGGAGACUGAACUUGAGUCUGCAUUAAUAUACAGUCUGAAAAUUUAAUAAUCAGCCAUGUCUCAAGAAUACUUACGCCUCCUGGAGCUGUGCGGGUCUGAGCUGAAGCUUGAAAAACCUUUGGUGGUUCUUCACCUAUCUUGGAAUACGUCAUCACAGAAGAAGAACUGAAUGAGUGUGCAUCUGGAUUGAGUGAGAGAUGAUCCUGAAAUUGAUACACUUCAAAUUAAUACAAAUAUUAAAGCGGGCAUAUAACCUAAGAAGAAAGAACAGUAUCCCACAUUAGACACCUUCUCCAUUUCAAUAUUACUUUUGAGGAAUUACAUCAGGAAAAAAUAGGGGGGAAAAGCCUGAGUUUGCAGUAUCCUCUGUAUUUGCCAGUGAAUCUUGCUUUAAGCCCUGAUCAUGCAGUCUGUCCACACAGAGGGACCCCUCUGCCCACAUACAGCCCUGUUGACUUCAAUGGGAUGUGCUUUUGUGGAGUUUAUUGCAGGAUUGGUACUUCAGAAGGGAAGGAACUGUCUUUAUGUGUGUGUCAUAUACAGAACAAAGUACACAGUCUGCACUUAAAUAAUAAAAUAGUCAUGUAAUGUAUUUGGGAGGAUAAAGGGUAUAAAAAUGUUCGAGUGUUCUACUGUCUUCAGUACUGAUAACAAAAAUGUUUUACCAGAGCACCUUAAUAAAUUAAACACAUUUGACCACAUUCUAUUCAAGUACAUAGACAUAACUGGUGUACAACUGAUCGUAUAAAGAAUUAAAAUUCCAAUACUUUCUGGGCAAAAACCAAAAAUUUUCUCUCUGCAACCCAUAGAUAUCGUAAUAUGGCUUUUUAGAGGACUUCCUGAAUAACUGUUUUAAACACUAUUAUUCUGGUCAAUAAAUAAUACUUUU